rnacentral:lncRNA from 1 species
GGCGGCCAGCCCCAGGCUGGGCCCUGGCAGGAGUCUUUGAUCUGGGUGCAUUCCAUACUGAGAGCCAUGGCUCAUGAGGGACAGGUCGUGGCGGCGGUAGGCAUCGAGGCAGCCCAACUCCCGCCUCUGCUCGUCCAGGCAGGAGGACUUGAGAGCCCGCGCAUUGUGCAGUUAUGUAUUGGUGGUGCACAUGGUUAUCCAGCUGGAGCCCUCAUUUCCAGCCUCACUGGCAGCUAGCUGUGGCCACAUGAUUUCUUUGCAAGUGAAUGUGAGUGGAAUUGAUGUGGGAAAUUCUAUGUCUUCAUUUAAAGACAUUUGUGUGUUUUCAGAUAACUUCCUUUCCCAUUCAUAUAAGUGAUAAGUAACCAGCUUUGACAAAGAAGACAAGAACAAUCAUAGCAUAUUCAAUAUGCAAGGCUACUGACAUCACAUUGCUCUUUCAUAGCCUGCUGAAGUACACAUAUUUACUAGGAGCUGUGGUCAAGGUGAGGACAUCAAUGGAAUUGUGACAACAUUAUCAUCCAUUGAACAAUGUUUCCUUAAUGGACACAGAAAAUGUGGUUCAUUUACACAAUGGAAUACUAAUGCACAAAUGCUGGGAUUACGUGGGUGUGUGCCACGGCAUCUGGCUUUUACAGCAUAGAGAAAGCAAAGCAAAACACAACAUGGAAGUGACCCAAACCCUAUCAAAUUGUACUCUUGGGUGUACUAUACACAGCAUGUUUCAUGAAACAGCCUUCUGUUUCAUGGCUAGCCUGGGUGGAUGAAGGCAAAUAUCAUCGAUCAAUGUCUAAACAGUGGAAAUAAACAAAAAUA